CUCUCUGGCUGCCCCGAGGGCAGGGCUGCUUACCCCUCUGCCGCCUCUGCUUCCUCCAGUACUCGCUCUCCCUCUCCUUUGCGUCCUCCUCCUUUUUCUCCUCUCUCCUGUCUUUCUUUUCCCAUCCUCUUUCUUCACCUCUUCAAAGCCUGCCCUUGACAACCAGUUGGCACCAGGUCCACUUCUUCGUCUCCCCCCCCUCCACACACACACGCAGCGAAGACACCCACCCCUGGGGUGUCCCCUCUCACUUGAGCAGUGACUCUCUCAGUUCCAGGUGGAUAAUCCCCCCACCCCCAAGGCACCAGCCCCCGCUCCGCACACACCCUCACUGACCCAGCCCCUGCUCGCACAGGUGCCAGGUAAGACACUGCGGGACACUGGAGAGCUUGUUUCUGACCCACAGAGUACAUGCAUCCGGGAGAUGGGCCACAGAGGACUCAUCACCGCCGGCAGGUGGCGUAGUCGUUAAGAUGUUGGACUCUCACAUGGCCCGCGGUGGCUCCAGUCUCAGACGUGAGCCUUGUAAAUCAUGCCUGGCCAUUUGCCUUAGGAUCCAGGCCUCACAGAGAGGCCACGUGAAGGUGUUCCAAGCAGCAACUCCAGCUCUGGUCCCCUCCAACCGCCUGCCACAUGACAGAGUGAGCCUUAGGACCAUCUGAGGUCACACAGGAGAGAGCAUAUUCCGAGAAGAGAACCAGGAUUGCUGGUCAAGAACCAGGAUUGCAGCAUGAAGACCCUGAUGGGGAUGAG